rnacentral:tRNA from 1 species
GGGGAUUUAGCUCAGUGGUAGAGCACUUGCCUAGCAAGCGCAAGGCCCUGGGUUCAGUCAGUCCUCA